CCUACGGGUGGCAGCAGUGAGGAAUAUUGGUCAAUGGGCGCGAGCCUGAACCAGCCAAGUCGCGUGAAGGAUGACGGAUCUAUGGGUCGUAAACCUCUUUUAUAUGGGAAUAAAUUGCGGGACGCGUCGGACUUCGCAUGUACCUUAUGAAUAAGGAUCGGCUAAAUCCGUGCCAGCAGCCGCGGUAAUACGGAGGAUCCGAGCGUUAUCCGGAUUUAUUGGGUUUAAAGGGUGCGUAGGUGGGUUGUUAAGUCAGUCGUGAAAGUUUGGGGCUCAACCGUAGAAUUGCAGUUGAAACUGGCGGUCUGGAGAGCAGGAGAGGCAGGCGGAAUGCGUGGUGUAGCGGUGAAAUGCUUAGAUAUCACGAGGAACACCGAUUGCGAAGGCAGCCCGCUGGACUGCAACGGACGUUGAGGCUCGAAAGUGUGGGUAUCAAACAGGAUUAGAUACCCUGGUAGUC
rnacentral:rRNA from 1 species